GUCAGGGUUUGGCUGUUGUGGAUUCCCAGAUGAUUAUCGGACUGCAGCCUGCCAGAGGAAGUAUGCAGAGUUCAGGGACGUACUGCGGCCAACUCCGGCGUUGAAGGUACGGGGUUGGACUGGCCUGGUUGCGUGGAAGAAGAGCAGACCGUCACCAGUAGCAGCAGUUCUGUGAUGCACUGCGGUCAAUCCCUGACGUGCAGCAGAAGAGGAGAUGUAUGCUGACCCGGGAGGAUCCCAACAGCAGUCAAGCAGGGAAGAGGAGGAUGCGCAGCAAGCAGCAGAGCCCAGCCCAGCCCUUCGCAGCCCAGCCCCGGAUCCAGCGCAGCCCACACCAGCCAGCCCAUCCCACCAGGAGAUCCAGUGCCGCGACCAGGCAGCCUAACAGAGAAGCAUUUUGAAUUUAUUUCUUUCCUUCUGUCUCUUCUCUAUCUUCUUAGCACUUUCCUAAUCUAACACAACUAACCAUCCCCUACCCCUUAACAUUGAUUUUGUUGUAAUUUCCUUGAAUUUGUGUGCUUUGUUUCAUUGUUUUGAAUUUUUACUAAUCUCGUCUCAGUUGUAUAUUUUCAGGCACUCGGACGUGGUACAACGCGGGAGCACUCAGCCAGCCUCCAGCCAGCCAGCCACAGAUGAAGAGGAAGGAGCCCAUUGCCCAGCUUUGUCUAGCGGCUUACAUUUGCCAAGGCGGUGAGUAAAGGGCUGCUUUUGUAGCACAUCUGGAUCCCUGUUUUGCAUUAUAACUUGAUCAGAGCAGCUAUUGCUUUUCUUUUGACCUCCUGAUUUUUUGUGUUUUCAGGAGCGUCGAUCCCACCGAGAGGUUCAGCAGCAUUCUGGGGAACAAGGAUCGACUGCGACCGCACAUGGAAGAGAGGAUAUGCGAUGUGAUGCAGCCCUCUGUUCCCAGUCCUUUGAAGAGGAGUCUGCCAACCCAGGGACGGUCAGGGUUUGGCUGUUGUGGUUUCCCAGAUGAUUAGCGGACUGCAGCCUGCCAGAGGAAGUAUGCAGAGUUCAGGGACGUACUGCGGCCAACUCCGGCGUUGAAGGUACGGGGUUGGACUGGCCUGGUUGCGUGGAAGAAGAGCAGACCGUCACCAGUAGCAGCAGUUCUGUGAUGCACUGCGGUCAAUCCCUGACGUGCAGCAGAAGUGGAGAUGUAUGCUGACCCGGGAGGAUCCCAACAGCAGUCAAGCAGAGAAGAGGAGGUAAGAUUCACAGUGUAUAUCUUGCAGCCUUUUGUGACCUUGACCUUGCCAAAUGAUCUUGACCGUAUCAGCA